GUACGGAAGGCAGCAGCUAAGAAUCUUCCGCAAUGGGCGAAAGCCUGACGGAGCGACGCCGCGUGGACGAUGAAGGCGGGAACGUUGUAAAGUCCUUUUCUUGGUGAAGAAUAACAGGGGCAGGGAAUGGCCCUUGGAUGACGUUAACCGAGGAAUAAGCCCCGGCUAAUUACGUGCCAGCAGCCGCGGUAACACGUAUGGGGCGAGCGUUGUUCGGAAUUAUUGGGCGUAAAGGGCGCGUAGGCUGUUCUACAAGCCUGGUGUGAAAGGCUGCGGCUUAACCGCAGUUAUGCGCUGGGAACUGUAGGGCUAGAAUCCUAGAGGGGAAGCUGGAAUUCCUGGUGUAGGGGUGAAAUCUGUAGAUAUCAGGAAGAACACCGGUGGCGAAGGCGAGCUUCUGGCUAGUGAUUGACGCUGAGGCGCGAAAGCGUGGGGAGCAAACAGGAUUAGAUACCCUGGUAGC
rnacentral:rRNA from 1 species